GAAAUUUAUUGUANGAGGAAAAUCCGUUGGGUUUAAGUCCUNUUUCUCC
rnacentral:tRNA from 1 species